GACGAACGCUGGCGGCGUGCCUAAUACAUGCAAGUUGAGCGAUGAAGCUUGGUGCUUGCACCAAUUUGAAGAGCAGCGAACGGGUGAGUAACGCGUGGGGAAUCUGCCUUUGAGCGGGGGACAACAUUUGGAAACGAAUGCUAAUACCGCAUAACAACUUUAAACAUAAGUUUUAAGUUUGAAAGAUGCAAUUGCAUCACUCAAAGAUGAUCCCGCGUUGUAUUAGCUAGUUGGUGAGGUAAAGGCUCACCAAGGCGAUGAUACAUAGCCGACCUGAGAGGGUGAUCGGCCACAUUGGGACUGAGACACGGCCCAAACUCCUACGGGAGGCAGCAGUAGGGAAUCUUCGGCAAUAGACGAAAGUCUGACCGAGCAACGCCGCGUGAGUGAAGAAGGUUUUCGGAUCGUAAAACUCUGUUGGUAGAGAAGAACGGUGGUGAGAGUGGAAAGCUCAUCAAGUGACGGUAACUACCCAGAAAGGGACGGCUAACUACGUG
rnacentral:rRNA from 1 species